rnacentral:lncRNA from 1 species
GUUGAGGAACGUCUAGCUCUAUAUCCAGGUGGAUGAUCUAGUUGAGGAACGUCUAGCUCUAUAUCCAGGUGGGUGAUCUAGUUGAGAAACGUCUAGCUCUAUAUCCAGGUGGAUGAUCUAGUUGAUGAACGUCUAGCUCUAUAUCCAGGUGGAUGAUCUAGUUGAGGAACGUCUAGCUCUAUAUCCAGGUGGGUGAUCUAGUUGAGAAACGUCUAGCUCUAUAUCCAGGUGGAUGAUCUAGUUGAGGAACGUCUAGCUCUAUAGCUAGGUGGAUGAUCUAGUUGGGGAACGUCUAGCUCUAUAUACACGGUGGAUGAUCUAGUUGAUGACGUCUAGCUCUAUAUCAGCUAGGGGUUGUGACGAGAGAGAGGAGAGAGGAGGGAGGCUGUUGAGGAUGAGAACAUCUUACAACAUGAUAUGACAGGAGCUUGGGGUUGGGUUACUGAUCUGGAACAACUCUGCCCCCUAGUGGUCUUCAUCCAAUACUACUACUGAAACCUCAGAACAGUCACCCAGCCUGGUUGGAUAAUACUACUACUGAAACCUCAGAACAGUCACCCAGCCUGGUUG